rnacentral:rRNA from 1 species
GACGAACGCUGGCGGCGUGCCUAAUACAUGCAAGUCGAACGCUGAAGGAGGAACUUUCUCUUCUUGAUGAUUUGCGAACGGGUGAGUAACACGUAUGUAACCUGCCUGUUAGCGGGGGAUAACUAUUGGAAACAAUAGCUAAUACCGCAUAACAUUAGAUGUUGCAUAACAUUUAAUUAAAAGGUGCAAUUUCAUCACUACCAGAUGGACCUGCGUUGUAUUAUCUAGUUGGUGGUGUAAAGGCUUACCAAGGCGACGAUACAUAACCGACCUCGGAGGGUGGUCGGCCCACAUGGGAACGAGAACACGCCCAGACUUCCAACGGAGGGAGCCGUAGGGAAACUUUGGGAAUGGAGGGAAGUCUGAACGAGCAAAGCCGCGUGAGUGAAGGAGGGUCUCGGGUCGGAAAGCUCUGUUGUUAGGGAAGAAAGAGUGUGGGAGUGGAAAGUUCACACUGUGACGGUAUCUAACCAGAAAGGCACGGCUAACUACGUG